GAUGAAGAACGCAGCGAAAUGCGAUAAGUAAUGUGAAUUGCAGAAUUCAGUGAAUCAUCGAAUCUUUGAACGCACAUUGCGCCCGCCAGUAUUCUGGCGGGCAUGCCUGUUCGAGCGUCAUUUCAACCAUCAAGCCCCCGGCUUGUGUUGGGGACCUGCGGCUGCCGCAGGCCCUGAAAAGCAGUGGCGGGCUCGCUGUCACACCGAGCGUAGUAGCAUACAUCUCGCUCUGGGCGUGCUGCAGGUUCCGGCCGUUAAACCACCUUCAUAACCCAAGGUUGACCUCGGAUCAGGUAGGAAGACCCGCUGAACUUAAGCAUAUCAAUAAGCGGAGGA
rnacentral:misc_RNA from 1 species